UACGUAGGGGGCAAGCGUUAUCCGGAAUGAUUGGGCGUAAAGAGUACGUAGGUGGUUUGGUAAGCGCAGGGUGAAAGGCAGUGGCUUAACCAUUGUAAGCCUUGCGAACUGCGAGACUUGAGUGCAGGAGAGGAAAGCGGAAUUCCUAGUGUAGCGGUGAAAUGCUUAGAUAUUAGGAGGAACACCAGUGGCGAAGGCGGCUUUCUGGACUGUAACUGACACUGAGGUACGAAAGCGUGGGGAGCAAA
rnacentral:rRNA from 1 species